rnacentral:rRNA from 1 species
CAAGACCUUGCGCUCUUGGAGCGGCCGAUGUCUGAUUAGCUAGUUGGUGAGGUAAAGGCUUACCAAGGCGACGAUCAGUAGCUGGUCUGAGAGGACGACCAGCCACACUGGGACUGAGACACGGCCCAGACUCCUACGGGAGGCAGCAGUGGGGAAUUUUGGACAAUGGGGGAAACCCUGAUCCAGCCAUGCCGCGUGAGUGAAGGAGGCUUCGGGUUGUAAAGCUCUUUCAGCCGGAACGAAACGGUCACGGUUAAUACCCGUGACAACUGACGGUACCGGAAGAAGAAGCACCGGCUAACUACGUGCCAGCAGCCGCGGUAAUACGUAGGGUGCGAGCGUUAAUCGGAAUUACUGGGCGUAAAGCGUGCGCAGGCGGUUUUGUAAGUCAGAUGUGAAAUCCCCGGGCUUAACCUGGGAACU